rnacentral:rRNA from 1 species
AACGUAGGAGACAAACGUUAUCCGGAGUUACUGGGCGUAAAGGGCGCGUAGGCGGCCACCGCAAGUCGACUGUGAAAUCUCUGGGCUUAACCCAGAACGGUCAGCCGAUACGUGCGGGCUAGAGUGCAGAAGGGGCAACUGGAAUUCCCGGUGUAGUGGUGAAAUGCGUAGAUAUCGGGAGGAACACCAGUGGCGAAGGCGACUUCCUGGCCUGUUCUUGACGCUGAGGCGCGAAAGCUAGGGUAGCAAACGGGG